rfam:Planktothricoides sp. SR001 contig_6, whole genome shotgun sequence.
UUGAGCCGUGUGAUGCGAAGAGUGUCACGCACGGUUCUUAGGGGAGGGGAGGAAGGUGACUUCCGAACCUUAC